GGGAAAUAGGUCAGCUGCCCAGGUGGUGCCUAAGGAAAAAGCCCACGGAACUAGAAGAUCCACUGAGAGGACCACCGGACAUCCAAAUUAAGACCACACAACAAGUAACGGACAACUUGUUUGGGUUGGAUGACCUGAAUGCUGACAUUCAAGCAUUUUCGAUCUAAGAAUAUCAGCAAUUCCAUAUGGUUCAACCUACAGGUUAACUGAGAGAAGCCCCUGAAGAGCGGGAGGGGCCUGGAGGAAAAUGGACCAAUCCAGGGGUUGUCAGAAUCGCUGAUGUAAGCCAGGCAGGGGCUGUGAAGAGCUGAUGCAGUGACUGGGGUCUCCGUGAGUUGCAAGGCCUCCCCGGACCCUGGGAUUUCUGACUGUGAGGCUGUGCUCCCGGCCUGGGGACACUCAGGUGGGAAGAGGAGCGGCAGCUUCAGUUCCACCCAGGAGGUCUGGCCUCCCUCCAGGUGGGGUGACAUACUCCCGCUUUUCACGUUUGGAGGGUGUAGACCACAGCAUGAAACGUGCCGGUGCACCCACACAUGUGAGGUGGACAGUGGACCAUCCUGAAAAGCAAAAGCCCCCCCCUCCCCACCUCUUAGUGCCCGCUUGGUUCCCUCCAAGGUUUUGAGGACAUGCAGGCCCCAGCGCAGACCCAGUUUCAAAGAUAGCUCAGGGUGGUCAGGGAGGGAAGAUGGGUCAGGGCACAUCUGUCCUCGCAGGAGGAGCUGAAAUAGCUCCCAUCCCUGCACAGUGAUGACACAGAGAGAGAAGCGGAGCAGACGUGGUCCUUUUUUUAGUCCUUUCUCAAAUUGUUUUCAGAUUUGGGGAUUACAGUUUCUAAGAGAAAUAGUGCACGGCCCAUUGCCAUCCGGUAGAGCCGCUGAGGUGUUUCUAUUUAGUCUCAAAAAGGGCUUGAUCUGCAGUUCACCAUGUGACAGUAGGCAGUCAAACCCAGCUCAGCCCAGCUGGGGAGAGGCCAGGGAGGCUUUGUCUUAAUCCUGAACAAUGGACUAUCUUAUAGGAAGUGGCAUUGUACUAUGUUUUGUUUUUCAGGGAUAUAUAGAGAUUAAGGCUGUUUCCAGAGCGGCUGUGAGUAGAGGGCCUGUUGUACCUUCUCCCCACCUGUCCCACCCCCUGCUGCUAAAACUGCCCUCUUACUGGGGGCUGGAUAUUCCUUUUUUGCUAUAGGUCUACCCUUCAUCCUUACUGCCAGAAGGUGACCUCUGUAGAUGGCACCACCUGGACCCCCUUGACUUCCGGCUUCUAGUGGAAGACAGCAGAAGUGAGGGGAGUGGAGAUGAUGAGGAUUCUGAGCCACAGAUAAGUUAAAUAAUGUGCCCACCGAAGGCGGAGCUGGGACUGAAGUCUGCUUGCUCGCCUCCAAAGCUGGAGCUCUUCCUCUCGUAUUGCAAUGACAAUUGAACGCCUCUUCUUUACACCGCUGAACUUGGGUUGAACUUAGCAGAACCUUUUCAGAUUCUAAAAACAGCAGAGCCUGACUUCAGGGGUUUGAAUGGAAGUAGAACAAUUUUUUUUUUGCUAACUCAUUCAUCAGAGACACAUGCCUUACUCUGACUUUGAGGCUCUGUUUGCUCUGUAAUUCAUUGUGAUUCUAAAAAUUACCCCGGCUCCCCAAGUGCUCUAUGUUAGAAUCUGGUAUCCUGACAAUACAAGAUUACUUUAAAGUCAGAGCAGUAGGAUUUAUUUGAGAAAUCUCUCCUCAUAAUAGAAAUUAGAAACAAGAGUAAUUGUUGGCAUUUUCUUCUACCCUGAAAGACGACAACAGAGAUAAGCCUUUUCCUGGGUGUAGGACCUGGGACACCCUAUACUGUAGCUAUAACAUGGGAAAAACAGAGCUGAGUAAACAGGAUGUGUACAGUCGGCAGUGCUUGGUGAUUUGGGUCCUAAAACCUUAGCCAGCUUUUGAUAGAGACUGUAAAUAUCACU